rnacentral:rRNA from 4 species
UACGGAGGAUCCGAGCGUUAUCCGGAUUUAUUGGGUUUAAAGGGUGCGUAGGCGGCCUUUUAAGUCAGCGGUGAAAGUCUGUGGCUCAACCAUAGAAUUGCCGUUGAAACUGGGGGGCUUGAGUAUGUUUGAGGCAGGCGGAAUGCGUGGUGUAGCGGUGAAAUGCAUAGAUAUCACGCAGAACCCCGAUUGCGAAGGCAGCCUGCCAAGCCAUUACUGACGCUGAUGCACGAAAGCGUGGGGAUCAAACAGG